AUUGAACGCUAGCGGGAUGCUUUACACAUGCAAGUCGAGCGAGUGGCGGACGGGUGAGUAAUAUAUCUGCACGUGCCCAGUAGCUGGGGAUAACUACUCGACAGAGUGGCUACUACCGCAUACUAUUGGAGCGGCCGAUAUCGGAUUAGCUAGUUGGUGGGGUAAAGGCUCAACAAGGCAACGAUCCGUAGCUGGUUUGAGAGGACGACCAGCCACACUGGGACUGAGACACGGUCCAGAAUCCUACGGGAGGCAGCAGUGGGGAAUUUUGGACAAUGGGGGAAAGCCUGAUCCAGCCAUGCCGCGUGUAUGAGAAGGCCUUCGGGUUGUAAAGUACUUUUGGUAGAGAAGCGGUAUCUGCAGAAUAAGCACCGGCUAACUACGUGCCAGCAGCCGCGGUAAUUC
rnacentral:rRNA from 1 species